UACAGAGGGUGCGAGCGUUGUCCGGAAUCACUGGGCGUAAAGGGCGCGUAGGCGGCUUGAUAAGCGUGCGGUGAAAGCCCGGGGCUCAACCCCGGGUCGGCCGUGCGAACUGUCGAGCUGGAGCACUGUAGAGGCAGGUGGAAUUCCGGGUGUAGCGGUGGAAUGCGUAGAUAUCUGGAGGAACACCGGUGGCGAAGGCGGCAUCCUGGACCGACACUGACGCUGAUGAGCGAAAGCCAGGGGAGCAAAGCGGG
rnacentral:rRNA from 1 species